UCCUACACCAUGGCCAGCCAUGACCCCACCUGGCAGCAAAUCCUCUGGAGUCUAUGUCACCCUGCAGUGCUCCUGCCUGAUGCAGUCACAUACUUGCCCUAUCUUGGGACACAGAGAUAGCUGCCAUCUACCCCAACCAGCACCAUCCUGGGCUCAGGGACCACGAGGGCCAUCGCUUAUGCUGCACAAGGUGCUACUCUCUGCUCACUGUCCCAUGGUGGGAAAACAAGCACAUUAACUCUCCAAGCAAGUUCAAAAGGUGGAUGGAGGCUUCCAAGUUACAGGCCACUACCCUGGAGCAUGACAGACACUUGGGGUGAGAAGAUCAAUCAAAAUUUGAACACUAUCAAGGAGUUUCAGGCCUUACUCCAGGCUGAGAGAUGAAAUAUUUGGGGGGAAAUUCUUGACUCCCUCUGUCCAUGGUACUCUGUGCACUUGACCUUCACAAAAUCAGUCCCAACUACACCUGGGGCCGGGUGAGCUACCUGGCAGCAGCUCCUCUAGUCAGUGUGAUUUCAAGUUCCUUGGGUCAGCCAGUCAGGUGACAUCAGAGAAGGUUCUUUCUGCACAGCUAAAUGUUCCUGGGGUGGAAGACUGGUGGGAUUUUUAGCACGUUUAUGCAGAGCUCUUAAAAACAAAGCAGCUGUCAUCAUUCAGAGCGGCUCUGGACCUUGGCUUUGUGGGCUGGCUCUGCUCUCCUGGAGACUUCUCUCCCUCCACACUGCUUCAGGACAGUCCCCUGGGCCCAUGCACCCUUUCCGUGCUUAGCUUCCUCUUAUUCCUGGUAAGGAGAUGCUUAUUCCUAGGCUUGGUGAGAGCCCAGAUUGCUGUCCCUACGGAAGACUGAUCCCAAGCUGACCCUCUUUACUAGUCCAGACACUUCAUCUGAAAUUACCCUGACUCUGCUGUUGGCUGCUGGACUGCUCAGCUCCAGGGCCUGGGCAGAGCUGGAGCAAUGGAUGUGGGGACUCAGGAAAAGAUGAUGGAAGGCUUUUCUUGCAACAAAUAAAACAGAUUUAUUCCUACAUGUAA